rnacentral:rRNA from 1 species
UGGGGAAUAUUGCACAAUGGGCGAAAGCCUGAUGCAGCGACGCCGCGUGAGGGAUGACGGCCUUCGGGUUGUAAACCUCUUUCAGCAGGGAAGAAGCGAAAGUGACGGUACCUGCAGAAGAAGCACCGGCUAACUACGUGCCAGCAGCCGCGGUAAUACGUAGGGUGCGAGCGUUGUCCGGAAUUAUUGGGCGUAAAGAGCUUGUAGGCGGUUUGUCGCGUCUGCCGUGAAAAUCCGGGGCUCAACCCCGGACUUGCGGCGGGUACGGGCAGACUAGAGUGUGGUAGGGGAGACUGGAAUUCCUGGUGUAGCGGUGAAAUGCGCAGAUAUCAGGAGGAACACCGAUGGCGAAGGCAGGUCUCUGGGCCACUACUGACGCUGAGAAGCGAAAGCGUGGGGAGCGAACAGGAUUAGAUACCCUGGUAGUCCACGCCGUAAACGUUGGGAACUAGGUGUGGGUCUCAUUCCACGAGAUCUGUGCCGCAGCUAACGCAUUAAGUUCCCCGCCUGGGGAGUACGGCCGCAAGGCUAAAACUUAAAUGAAUUGACGGGGUCAUAGCUGUUUCCU